UGGAAAGCUGUCUGUGCUACUUGCUAAUAGCCCAGCCUAUACUAGUUGCUUAUACUUACAGUUACAGCUUAGUGAUUGAACUGAACAAAUAAAAACAUAAACUUGAAAUCUGAAACUGAAAGUCUUAAACUCUUUAGAGAGUAGAGACUAAUGAGAAAUGGCGUCAAAAAAGCAAACAGCUUCUCCAAGUUUACAAAGUCA